AUCUUCAAAGAUGUCCAAUACCUCUGCUGUAGCAACACAGUGCUUCAUGGAAUCCUACAGUGAUUGUAUCUAUGAAUUCACUGCACAAGCAUUUUAAGAAAUGUCCAAUUGUGCUUCAUCAACUUGCAUCUGCAGCAGAAGGAGUUAGAACACAGUGAGAGAAGAUGCUGCCAGGGACCAGAAAACAGUCAGUAAACAAAACAGCCCAGAAUGAUGAUACCAGUGAUCUGAUCUGUUUUUGUGGAAAGAAGAUGAGUGACUCUACUGAACAUCUGUAAUACCCAGAUGCACACUGGCAUUCGGUUUCCUUUUUGCUGAUAUCAACCCACUCUCGGGGAUGCCUUCUCCUGAGGUAUUAUGCAGCUCUCAUUUUGAGGAGAAAAUGAAGAAGAGGCAAUAUAUAAGAAAGUAAUGGCUGAGAAUU